rnacentral:rRNA from 1 species
AUUGAACGCUGGCGGCAGGCCUAACACAUGCAAGUCGAGCGGGGACUUCGGUCCUAGCGGCGAACGGGUGAGUAAUGCUUGGGAAUCUGCCCAGUAGUGGGGGAUAACGUCCCGAAAGGGACGCUAAUACCGCAUACGUCCUACGGGAGAAAGAGGGGGAUCUUCGGACCUCUCGCUAUUGGAUGAGCCCAAGUCGGAUUAGCUAGUUGGUAGGGUAAUGGCCUACCAAGGCGACGAUCCGUAGCUGGUCUGAGAGGAUGAUCAGCCACACUGGAACUGAGACACGGUCCAGACUCCUACGGGAGGCAGCAGUGGGGAAUAUUGGACAAUGGGCGAAAGCCUGAUCCAGCCAUGCCGCGUGUGUGAAGAAGGCCUUCGGGUUGUAAAGCACUUUAAGCGGGGAGGAAGGUUCGCGGCCUAAUACGUCGCGGAAUUGACGUUACCCGCAGAAUAAGCACCGGCUAACUCUGCG